ACCUUCGUGGUGUAAUGCUCAACACACUCGGCGCGUAUUCGAGAGGUCCGAGGUUAGAGUCCCGGUGAGGGCA
rnacentral:tRNA from 1 species